GCUUCUAUGGUGUAGAGGUUAGCAUCUGGGAUUUUGAUUCCCGAGACCCCGGUUCGAACCCGGGUAGGAGCU
rnacentral:tRNA from 1 species